UGUCUGCCUGUCUGUCUGCCUGUCUGUCUGUCUGCCUGCAUGCAUCAUUGCGUAUGAAUUAAAAAUAAAUGUCAUGUAAAAAUAAUUGUUAUUGAUUAUCAAACGAUGACUCUUUUUUUUUUCAAAGAAACUUCAAAGGAUCAGAACUCACUCUGCCAUGAGCACAAGGACAUGGAUAAGACUGCAUUACGGUUGGCAUAGCGACCGCAGAAAUGGCUUCUAUUCUUAACAAUAGUCAGAUAGGUCGGGGGGGGGGGGCACUGACUCGCCCCCACCACACUGCUCACAUCUGCUGGCCCCACAUUCAGACUUAUGGGAUGUUCUGCCGAUUAUUUUCUGUCCUGCUUCCUCCUUUCAGAUCCGACAGGCUGAGAGAAUGAAAAAGAAAUUAGGAAUUCUGCCUACAUCUGUGCCGGAACUGCGGCCCAGUGAGCUCUGGCUGCUGCCAUUGGAAGUUAUCCGACUCACAAAGGCAGGACACACUGUAAAUCACAAGCUGGACCACGAAGGGGAGAAGAUGGACGCUGCUUUGUUCUUUGGUCUGAGGGACGGUGGAAGCCACCUGCCCGCAUGCACGAAGGAAGCCAAAGGCUUCAUUGAACGAUGAGGGUGGUGGAACACAAGAAGUGGGAGGCUCUCAACUCCACAGCGACCCUCCCAAGCUUUGUCUCCGAGCUCAAGACUGAACUACAAAGCAGUAGGAAAAGUUAUGGGACCUUAAAGAUAAUCACAAUAUUCUUUUAGUCGCUCCAAAUCAUAUAUUGCUCUUCAAAACAAAAGGUUCUUCCAGAAAGUUCCAGCGUUGGGGGGUGAAAAAGGGCCAGAAACUUCCAGCGGUAGUGGCUGCUGUGCUGCUUUAGACUUCAGAGCAAAUUGCAACAGGAAUGUUCAGGAAGAAGUUAUGCAACAGUUAUGUAUUAACGUAUAUGUAAAGAACUUAAUUGACAAUAGACAAUAAUUAAACGGAUUUAUUUGCUGUCAUUUUGCUUUUGCUUCACUGUUUCUUGGACCUGCUGGAAACAAAAGGGCCGCAGGAACCUUUGAGUUGCUCUGAAACCUGCCGGGUCUCAGCUCAGCACAACUGGAGUCUGUCAUAACAUUUGGGUUCGAUGCUGCUAAAGAGAACCGGAACCUCCUGCCGAGCAGACCGGGGACCAUGUCUGGACGACACGAGCUCUUCCUCCAGCAAUAUUCAAAUGAUGUUGGAAAAGUCAUUUUUGAGACUCGUCUUACUUGUUUAAAAGCCUUUGUUGACAAAUGCUCCCCUGCCCAGAACUGGAUUUGCUCGCUGGCCCUUUUGCACUCUCACACAGAUCGGAGCAAAACCAUUUAUUCUGACUUUCCUCCCAGAUGACCCCUGAUGCAUUUACAGGCUGGACAAAAAAGGGCGAGAAAGAAAGACUUUGUCCGGGGAGGGUUUCCAAACCCCCGCAUCCAUAUUGAUUAAACAAAUUUGCCACAAAUCAUUUUACAAAUGCUCAGCGGGGGGUUAUAGUAGUUGGUGGAAAUACCCCAUUCAUGCUGGGUCCUCCCCCGCCGGGCUGAAGUCUCGACUCUUGGCUCGUUUAAGCGUGCUGACAGCCUCUGAUCCUCUGGCCAUCUGCAGGGUGGGCUGCUCAGUGCUGAAGGGUCUUUGUGUUUAAACCUUGAAGAGAUUUAGCAGCAAAUCAGACAAAAAACGUCAGAAAGUGAAGGACCCCCACCUGUUGCUCCCGGUUUAGCCCGUUUACGAAGCGCAGCAAUCAGACUGUCAGCAGCACACAUGGCCUGAUAAUAA
rnacentral:lncRNA from 1 species